rnacentral:rRNA from 1 species
UACGUAGGGGGCAAGCGUUGUCCGGAAUCAUUGGGCGUAAAGAGCGUGUAGGCGGCUCGGUAAGUCAGAUGUGAAAGCCCCGGGCUCAACCUGGGAAUUGCAUUUGAGACUGCAUAGCUAGGGUGCGGAAGAGGGAAGCGGAAUUUCCGGUGUAGCGGUGAAAUGCGUAGAUAUCGGAAGGAACACCAGUGGCGAAAGCGGCUUCCUGGUCCAGCACCGACGUUCAGGCACGAAAGCGUGGGGAGCAAACAGG